CAAAUACUCCCUCCAUCCCAAAAUUCUUAUCUUAUAUUUAUCUAGAUACGGAUAUAUCUAACAUUAAAAUAUGAAUAGAUACAUUCAUAUGUAGACAAAUUUAAGACAAGAAUUUUGGCUAGGGAAGAGUAUAUA
rfam:Triticum aestivum genome assembly, contig: Triticum_aestivum_CS42_TGACv1_scaffold_579038_7BL